rnacentral:rRNA from 1 species
AAACCAACAGGGAUUGCCCUAGUAACGGCGAGUGAAGCGGCAACAGCUCAAAUUUGAAAUCUGGCCUCGGCCCGAGUUGUAAUUUGCAGAGGAUGCUUCUGGCGCGGUGCCUUCCGAGUUCCCUGGAACGGGACGCCACAGAGGGUGAGAGCCCCGUAUGGUCGGACACCAAGCCUGUGUGAAGCUCCUUCGACGAGUCGAGUAGUUUGGGAAUGCUGCUCUAAAUGGGAGGUAAAUCUCUUCUAAAGCUAAAUACCGGCCAGAGACCGAUAGCGCACAAGUAGAGUGAUCGAAAGAUGAAAAGCACCUUGAAAAGGGGGUUAAAUAGUACGUGAAAUUGUUGAAAGGGAAGCACUUAUGACCAGACUUGGGCCGGGCGGCUCAUCAGGGGUUCUCCCCUGUGCACUCCGCCCGGCACAGGCCAGCAUCGGUUCCCGUGGGGGGAUAAGACCGUCAGGAACGUAGCACCCUCCGGGGUGUGUUAUAGCCUGGCGGACGAUACCCCCGUGGGGACCGAGGUCCGCGCUCCGCAAGGAUGCUGGCGUAAUGGUCAUCAGUGAC